GAUGAACUGUGGGUAGCGGAGAAAUUCCAAUCGAACCCGGAGAUAGCUGGUUCUCUCCGAAAUAGCUUUAGGGCUAGCCUUGAAAUAGAUUACCGGAGGUAAAGCACUGAAUUGGCUAGGGGCCGAGAGGUUACUGAACCUUAUCAAACUAAGAAUGCCGGAUAAUCGUUUUUCAGGAGUCAGACAGUGGGAGAUAAGUUUCAUUGUCAAAAGGGAAACAGCCCAGACCCACAGCUAAGGUCCCCAAGUAUAGUUAAGUGGAAAAGGAUGUGGAAUUGCACAGACAACCAGGAUGUUGGCUUAGAAGCAGCCACUCAUUAAAAGAGUGCGUAAUAGCUCACUGGUCGAGUGACUCUGCGCCGAAAAUUUAACGGGGCUAAACUAUACACCGAAGCUUGGGAUACAUCUAAUGUAUGGUAGGAGAGCGUUCUGUAUGGGGAGAAGUCGUAGCGAAAGCGGCGGUGGACUAUACAGAAGUGAGAAUGCCGGAAUAAGUAGCGAGAAUUAAGUGAGAAUCUUAAUGGCCGAAAGUCUAAGGUUUUUGGAGGAAGGUUCGUCCGCUCCAAGUAAGUCGGGAGCUAAGGUCAGGCCGAAAGGCGUAGCCGAUGCACAUACGGUUGAUAUUCCGUAACCAUCUGUAAUUUAAGCAAAGGGACACUUCAAAAGGGUGUGACCCGGGCGUUGGUUGACCCGGGCGUAAGGGACCGAAAUUAGAGUAGGGAAGCACACUUAGCUGAAGGCGAGAAAAGCUUUGCGUAUAGAAACAGAUGCCCGUACCGCAAACCGACACAGGUGGACAGGAAGAGAAUUCUAAGGCCAGCGGGAGAAGGGUAGUUAAGGAACUCGGCAAAUUGACUCCGUAACUUCGGAAUAAGGAGUGCUCGAAAGAGCCGCAGAGAAUAGGCCCAGGCGACUGUUUAGCAAAAACACAGGUCUCUGCCAAAUCGAAAGAUGAAGUAUAGGGGCUGACACCUGCCCGGUGCCGGAAGGUUAAGAGGAGGAGUGAGAGCUCCGAAUUGAAGCCCCGGUAAACGGCGGCCGUAACUAUAACGGUCCUAAGGUAGCGAAAUUCCUUGUCGGGU
rnacentral:rRNA from 1 species